GGAAUCUUGCGCAAUGGGCGAAAGCCUGACGCAGCAACGCCGCGUGCGGGAAGAAGGCUUUCGGGCUGUAAACCGCUUUCAGCAGGAACGAAAAUGACGGUACCUGCAGAAGAAGGAGCGGCCAACUAUGUGCCAGCAGCCGCGGUGAUACAUAGGCUUCAAGCGUUGUCCGGAUUUAUUGGGCGUAAAGAGUUCGUAGGCGGUCGAGUAAGUCGGGUGUGAAAAUUCUGGGCUCAACCCAGAAACGCCACCCGAUACUGCUUAACUUGAGUUCGAUAGGGGAGUGGGGAAUUCCUAGUGUAGCGGUGAAAUGCGCAGAUAUUAGGAGGAACACCGGUGGCGAAGGCGCCACUCUGGAUCGAUACCGACGCUGAGGAACGAAAGCAUGGGUAGCAAACAGGAUUAGAUACCCUGGUAGUCCAUGCCGUAAACGGUGGGCACUAGGUGUGGGAUUCUAUUAACGAAUUCCGCGCCGUCGCUAACGCAUUAAGUGCCCCGCCUGGGGAGUACGGUCGCAAGACUAAAACUCAAAUGAAUUGACGG
rnacentral:rRNA from 1 species